GACGAACGCUGGCGGCGUGCUUAACACAUGCAAGUCGAACGGUAAGGCUCCAGCUUGCUGGGGUACACGAGUGGCGAACGGGUGAGUAACACGUGGGUGACCUGCCCUGCACUUCGGGAUAAGCCUGGGAAACUGGGUCUAAUACCGGAUAGGACCGCACCGUGAGGGUGUGGUGGAAAGUUUUUUCGGUGUGGGAUGGGCCCGCGGCCUAUCAGCUUGUUGGUGGGGUAAUGGCCUACCAAGGCGGCGACGGGUAGCCGGCCUGAGAGGGUGGACGGCCACAUUGGGACUGAGACACGGCCCAGACUCCUACGGGAGGCAGCAGUGGGGAAUAUUGCACAAUGGGCGGAAGCCUGAUGCAGCGACGCCGCGUGGGGGAUGACGGCCUUCGGGUUGUAAACUCCUUUCACCAUCGACGAAGGGUUUCUGACGGUAGAUGGAGAAGAAGCACCGGCUAACUACGUGCCAGCAGCCGCGGUAAUACGUAGGGUGCGAGCGUUGUCCGGAAUUACUGGGCGUAAAGAGCUCGUAGGUGGUUUGUCGCGUCGUCUGUGAAAUUCCGGGGCUUAACUCCGGGCGUGCAGGCGAUACGGGCAUAACUUGAGUACUGUAGGGGAGACUGGAAUUCCUGGUGUAGCGGUGAAAUGCGCAGAUAUCAGGAGGAACACCGGUGGCGAAGGCGGGUCUCUGGGCAGUAACUGACGCUGAGGAGCGAAAGCAUGGGGAGCGAACAGGAUUAGAUACCCUGGUAGUCCAUGCCGUAAACGGUGGGCGCUAGGUGUGGGUUUCCUUCCACGGGAUCCGUGCCGUAGCUAACGCAUUAAGCGCCCCGCCUGGGGAGUACGGCCGCAAGGCUAAAACUCAAAGGAAUUGACGGGGGCCCGCACAAGCGGCGGAGCAUGUGGAUUAAUUCGAUGCAACGCGAAGAACCUUACCUGGGCUUGACAUAUACAGGAUCGCGCCAGAGAUGGUGUUUCCCUUGUGGCUUGUAUACAGGUGGUGCAUGGUUGUCGUCAGCUCGUGUCGUGGGAUGUUGGGUUAAGUCCCGCAACGAGCGCAACCCUUGUCUUAUGUUGCCAGCACGUUGUGGUGGGGACUCGUAAGAAACUGCCGGGGUUAACUCGGAGGAAGGUGGGGAUGACGUCAAAUCAUCAUGCCCCUUAUGUCCAGGGCUUCACACAUGCUACAAUGGUCGGUACAGUGGGUUGCCAGUCCGUGAGGGCGAGCUAAUCCCGCAAAGCCGGUCUCAGUUCGGAUCGGGGUCUGCAACUCGACCCCGUGAAGUCGGAGUCGCUAGUAAUCGCAGAUCAGCAACGCUGCGGUGAAUACGUUCCCGGGCCU
rnacentral:rRNA from 1 species